GGAUCGCGCACGCUACUUCGACUGCUCCCGCUUGCGCCUGCUUGGCGGUUUCGUGCGCGUGUAUCGUGGACCAAGUUUUCUCAUGAAUUCGGACAGCUUUUACUGCAAUGCAGGAUGGAGUACACCUCAGCUUUUAAGACAUCACAGCCAACUCGGCAUUCACAAAUGCAACUUCUCAUGCAAUCAGAGGCCAAGGCAGUGUGGCUGAAGAACUGCACCUUGAGAGAACAGUCUGCUGCUAAAAAACACUGGGAUGGUCCAGCUAUCCAGCAACUGAGGACGGUGAGAAGUCACAGCAUGGACACCGCCACUGCUGUAACUCCUGUGACUAUGAGACUGGGUACUUGUCCAGUAUGAAAAAGCACAUCAGGGUUCAUACAGGCGAGCGGCCAUGUCAGUGUCACCUGUGUCCUCGGAGCUUCUCACGUAAAGACCAUUUGAUACGUCACCUGCGUGCCCACAGACAGGAGCGGCCACACAAGUGCCACGUGUGUUCCCAGAGCUUCUCUCAAAAGUCUAUAUUGAGAGAUCAUCUGCACAUGCACACAGGCGACCAGCCGCAUAAGUGCCCCUUAUGUCCUCAGACGUUUGCAUGGAAAAACAGCUUAAACAGGCACUUGCGCACACACAAACGCAAGUGAACAUUUCAGUGGGACUUCUGCUAAUUCCUGUUUUUAGAGGCACGUUCGCCUAAAGUCCCCGAAAAAUAACUGCUAAAGUGGCGCCAUUCAUGUCACUGUUGUAGAGGCAUGUCCUCUCAAGUGCACUUUGCAGAUUUUAAAUGAAGUCGGUUAAGGUGCAAAGCUCGCAAAUCAUAGCUCUUGGCUGGAAGAGGGGCUUGUGCAAUUUUUCCACUAGAGUGCACGAGGGUGCUGGGUUUCUAAGCGGCUCAGUGGGAAAGGUCCGCGAAAUAAAAUGGAAAGAAUAACGAUAAGUACAACAAUGCGAUGUAUACAGAAGCAAGUGGCGUACUUUCGUGGUAUCCAAAAGUAAAAAUGUACGGAACGUAAUCAAAGAGUACACGAAAGUGCUCGCUCCUGAUGGCAUGGCAACUGCAAACUCGACGGCGCUAAGAAAGCGCUAGCUUUCAACAAUUGCAUUAGACUAUACUUCCAAGUGUGAUAGUCUAGCUUUUUAGAAAGUCGUGCAAGCGCCAUAUUGCUUGUCUGUGUCUGGGUUGGUUGCUGGAUCAUUGCACGGUGUGUGGUCUGUUUGUACGGUGGUUCGGCAUGCUUCGAUACGCCGGCUUGCUAUGCCAACGAUAGCAAAAACAGAUACAACAGCAGAAAGAAGCUUUUUUCACUACUGCGAGAAAAAUCUGUAGUUUCUUGGUGGACACCCUAGAGGCACUGCUGCAGCUGCUAGGCGUGGAAGCAAAGGUGAAUGGGACGCAGUUGGCGCUACUUUAUACUUUUCGGGGACUUUACAUCUGACUGGUCUUUUACAGCACUCUGACAGUGCUUAGUUUGGUAUGAAAACUUAAAGCAUAACUUUAUUAGUGACAGCGCAGCUUCAUCAUUGCCUCUAGAGCAUUGUGAUGCAUAGCAUAAAAUAUAUCAACUAGAGUUAAUUACUUUUUGCUGGGCUCCUUUACAGCAUUCUUAUGUAACCGGUUGAAGGUGCCAUAUGUCGCAUUUUCAAGAAAGAUGUGUCCAUUGUAAUGAGCGAACACACCUCUGCAUUGCCAAUUCCAAACCUUUUCUACUAGCCACUUACCUGAGCCAACACGAAGAUGCAGUACCUUUACAAUAUCAGUCAGGUCACCAGCCAUGUUUGAAUUAAAGGUCUGCAUGCGUGUGCAAUAUGUUAUGUUGCAUUAUGUUUUUAAAUGUUCAAUGUGUUUCUAGGUUAUGUGGGUGUCCUGUAGUAAUUCUCCUACCUAUUUAAAUAUAGCUUCGCAUUAAGAGAUGUCUGUGAGAGCAUAAGAAAAGCUUAUUAUGUGUUGUUUUUCUAAUGUGUUAUCUUAGUAAACUACAGGAAUGUCCUUUAUGGGUGAAGUGGAAGGGAUAUUUUGAUACCUUGCCUUAUGGGACCUAAGCAGCACUGAACUUUUUGAAAGGCAACCUGUGUCACUCUGCUAAGCUAGAGGGUGUGGGUGCGAUUGCCGGCCACGGCAGCCACAUUUCUAGAGAGGCUAAAUAGAAGAGCAUCAGUGUACUUAGAUUUAGAUGCAUGUUAAAAAAAAAACCAGGUGGUGAAAUUUGAUGUGGAGUCCCCUACUAAGAUGUGCCUCAUAAUCAUAUCGCAGUUAAUUAAAUAUUAUUAUUAAGAACAUGAACAGUGUGGAUCCACAAAUCUGUUUCAUUAUGUCACUGGGAUUUUUGUGUUCUUGCUGGAGUGUUUCUUUCAAUAUAAUUUUCUAGCUCAACAGAUGCCUCCUGUACUUUAUAUCAUUUUGUCAUUUACUUACGCUUUUUCUCAAGCAACACAUCAAAGCACUUACAUAGCACUUGUUCACCAAAGAUUUCUCUUAUG